rnacentral:rRNA from 1 species
AAGAGUUCAAGAGAACGUGAAACUACCACGAGGUUAAAGCGGAUGUACAUACGUAGCCGACCGGGUGGGCUCAUCUUCUCGAGCCUCCAGCGGUCGUCGCGGUCGGACCGUCGCCACCCUCGAAUCCCUUUCGGGGGAAACGACUGGCGUCGGCCGUCGCGACGGCGGACUCGGAGGAGAGAGCGGUGGAUUCCCCUCCUCAGUAGGCAGUCGCGGCCGUUCGAGAGUUGUCUAAGGCCCGGGAGUUGGGAACCGUCCGGCGUUUUACGCGUCGGCGGGGACUCUCCCUCGAUUCUGGCGGACUCUCGGACGGUCUAUGAAAAAUGACGACGUAGCGGAAAGAAAGUCCCUCGUCGUACGCGGCUGUUACGCGAUCGUUCAUCCGUCCCGUCUUGAAACACGGACCAAGGAGUCUAACAUGUACGCGAGUCAACGGGUUGGCUAAACCCCUAGGCGGAACGAAAGUAAAAAAGGAGCUUUCUUCUCUAAGUAGUUGUUAGCUUCGUUGGGUCGAUCCGNGCUCCCUCUUNNAAAAAAAAAGGACCGGCGCAGACCCGGGGCUCGCCGCUACCUCUUCGAGAGAGAGUAGUAGUACGAUUUAUCGUCUCUAUCUCUGUCUCGAGGCGGGCGGCGGGCACCUAGAGCGUACAUGCUAGUACCCGAAAGAUGGUGAUCUAUGCCUGGCCAGGAUGAAGCCAGAGGAAACUCUGGUGGAGGUCCGUAGCGAUUCUGACGUGCAAAUCGAUCGUCGGAGCUGGGUAUAGGGGCGAAAGACCAAUCGAACCAUCUAGUAGCU